rnacentral:rRNA from 1 species
CCCUUAGAUGUCCUGGGCCGCACGCGCGCUACACUGAUGCAUGCAACGAGUUUAUAACCUUGGCCUGAAAGGUCUGGGUAAUCUUUUGAACGUGCAUCGUGAUAGGGAUAGAUUAUUGCAAUUGUUAAUCUUGAACGAGGAAUUCCUAGUAAACGCGAGUCAUCAGCUCGCAUUGAUUACGUCCCUGCCCUUUGUACACACCGCCCGUCGCACCUACCGAUUGAAUGGUUCGGUGAAGAUCUCGGACUUCGAUAUUUAUUCUUUAUUGAGUUUAUAUUGUGGGAAGUUAUCUAAACCUCAUCAUUUAGAGGAAGGUGAAGUCGUAACA